GGAAGACAGGAGCGAACUUGAGGAAGUGUUCUGUGAGUGAGACGGAGAUCUGGAUUGUGUUCGUAGACUCCCGAGGGCGGACAGGUAUCUCGGUGCUGGGAAGCUGCUCUACGGGCGUCAUGGGCUGGUAGACAUAUUUACAGUGGCACCAUCCCAGGUGGCAGCACCAGUGCAGGCGGAAGCAGCGGCCGUGGCUGUGCGUGGCGCAGAGCGAGAGCCCGUCGCACGGCUGGAAGUCGGGUCUGCCCGCGCAGCUGCGGGCCAGCGCCUGAGCCUCGUCCAGCUUCUCGCUCUUGGCCGCCGCCGCCCCGCUCAUGGCGCCGCCGCUCCGCCCGCAGCCCCCGCGCCGCAGCG
rnacentral:lncRNA from 1 species